UGGGGAAUAUUGGACAAUGGGCGAAAGCCUGAUCCAGCCAUGCCGCGUGAGUGAUGAAGGCCUUAGGGUUGUAAAGCUCUUUCGUCAGGGACGAUAAUGACGGUACCUGAAGAAGAAGCCCCGGCUAACUUCGUGCCUGCAGCCGCGGUAAUACGAAGGGGGCUAGCGUUGUUCGGAAUCACUGGGCGUAAAGCGCAUGUAGGCGGGUCUCUAAGUCAGGGGUGAAAUGCCAAGGCUCAACCUUGGAACUGCCUUUGAUACUGGAGACCUUGAGUCUGGGAGAGGUGAGUGGAACUGCGAGUGUAGAGGUGAAAUUCGUAGAUAUUCGCAAGAACACCAGUGGCGAAGGCGGCUCACUGGCCCGGUACUGACGCUGAGAUGCGAAAGCGUGGGGAGCAAACAGGAUUAGAUACCCUGGUAGUCCACGCCGUAAACGAUGGAUGCUAGCCGUUAGGCAGCUUGCUGCUUAGUGGCGCAGUUAACGCUUUAAGCAUCCCGCCUGGGGAGUACGGUCGCAAGAUUA
rnacentral:rRNA from 1 species